CUCCUCGAAAGACUAUCUUAAGGUAGCGCUCCUCAUAGUACUCACUCUGGGGGUAGAGCACUGUUUCGGCUAGGGGGUCAUCCCGACUUACCAAACCGAUGCAAACUCCGAAUACCCAGAAGUGCCGAGCAUGGGAGACACACGGCGGGUGCUAACGUCCGUCGUGAAAAGGGAAACAACCCAGACCGCCAGCUAAGGUCCCAAAGUUGUGGUUAAGUGGUAAACGAUGUGGGAAGGCUUAGACAGCUAGGAGGUUGGCUUAGAAGCAGCCAUCCUUUAAAGAAAGCGUAAUAGCUCACUAGUCGAGUCGGCCUGCGCGGAAGAUGUAACGGGGCUCAAACCACACACCGAAGCUGCGGGUGUCACGUAAGUGACGCGGUAGAGGAGCGUUCUGUAAGCCUGUGAAGGUGAGUUGAGAAGCUUGCUGGAGGUAUCAGAAGUGCGAAUGCUGACAUGAGUAACGACAAUGGUGUGAAAACACCCACGCCGAAAGACCAAGGGUUCCUGCGCAACGUUAAUCGACGCAGGGUUAGUCGGUUCCUAAGGCGAGGCUGAAAAGCGUAGUCGAUGGGAAACAGGUUAAUAUUCCUGUACUUCUGGUUACUGCGAUGGAGGGACGGAGAAGGCUAGGCCAGCUUGGCGUUGGUUGUCCAAGUUUAAGGUGGUAGGCUGAAAUCUUAGGUAAAUCCGGGGUUUCAAGGCCGAGAGCUGAUGACGAGUCGUCUUUAGAUGACGAAGUGGUUGAUGCCAUGCUUCCAAGAAAAGCUUCUAAGCUUCAGGUAACCAGGAACCGUACCCCAAACCGACACAGGUGGUCGGGUAGAGAAUACCAAGGCGCUUGAGAGAACUCGGGUGAAGGAACUAGGCAAAAUGGCACCGUAACUUCGGGAGAAGGUGCGCCGGCUAGGGUGAAGGAUUUACUCCGUAAGCUCUGGCUGGUCGAAGAUACCAGGCCGCUGCGACUGUUUAUUAAAAACACAGCACUCUGCAAACACGAAAGUGGACGUAUAGGGUGUGACGCCUGCCCGGUGCCGGAAGGUUAAUUGAUGGGGUUAGCGCAAGCGAAGCUCUUGAUCGAAGCCCCGGUAAACGGCGGCCGUAACUAUAACGGUCCUAAGGUAGCGAAAUUCCUUGUCGGGUAAGUUCCGACCUGCACGAAUGGCGUAACGAUGGCGGCGCUGUUCCACCCGAGACUCAGUGAAAUUGAAAUCGCUGUGAAGAUGCAGUGUAUCCGCGGCUAGACGGGAAGACCCCGUGAACCUUUACUGUAGCUUUGCACUGGACUUUGAGCCUGCUUGUGUAGGAUAGGUGGGAGGCUUUGAAGCGUGGACGCCAGUUCGCGUGGAGCCAUCCUUGAAAUACCACCCUGGCAUGCUUGAGGUUCUAACUCUGGUCCGUGAUCCGGAUCGAGGACAGUGUAUGGUGGGCAGUUUGACUGGGGCGGUCUCCUCCUAAAGAGUAACGGAGGAGUACGAAGGUGCGCUCAGACCGGUCGGAAAUCGGUCGCAGAGUAUAAAGGCAAAAGCGCGCUUGACUGCGAGACAGACACGUCGAGCAGGUACGAAAGUAGGUCUUAGUGAUCCGGUGGUUCUGUAUGGAAGGGCCAUCGCUCAACGGAUAAAAGGUACUCCGGGGAUAACAGGCUGAUACCGCCCAAGAGUUCAUAUCGACGGCGGUGUUUGGCACCUCGAUGUCGGCUCAUCACAUCCUGGGGCUGAAGCCGGUCCCAAGGGUAUGGCUGUUCGCCAUUUAAAGUGGUACGCGAGCUGGGUUUAGAACGUCGUGAGACAGUUCGGUCCCUAUCUGCCGUGGACGUUUGAGAUUUGAGAGGGGCUGCUCCUAGUACGAGAGGACCGGAGUGGACGAACCUCUGGUGUUCCGGUUGUCACGCCAGUGGCAUUGCCGGGUAGCUAUGUUCGGAAAAGAUAACCGCUGAAAGCAUCUAAGCGGGAAACUUGCCUCAAGAUGAGAUCUCACUGGGAACUUGAUUCCCCCUGAAGGGCCGUCGAAGACUACGACGUUGAUAGGCUGGGUGUGUAAGCGUUGUGAGGCGUUGAGCUAACCAGUACUAAUUGCCCGUGAGGCUUGACCA
rnacentral:rRNA from 1 species